CUUAGGAUGAACGCUAGCGAUAGGCCUAACACAUGCAAGUCGAGGGCAGCAUAGAGUAGCAAUACUUUGAUGGCGACCGGCGCACGGGUGAGUAACACGUAUGCAACCUACCUACAUCAGGGGAAUAACCCGGAGAAAUUCGGACUAAUACCGCAUAAUACAGGGAUGCCGCAUGGUAAUAUUUGUUAAAGAUUUAUCGGAUGUAGAUGGGCAUGCGUUCCAUUAGCUAGUUGGUAAGGUAACGGCUUACCAAGGCAACGAUGGAUAGGGGAACUGAGAGGUUUGUCCCCCACACUGGAACUGAGACACGGACCAGACUCCUACGGGAGGCAGCAGUGAGGAAUAUUGGUCAAUGGACGAGAGUCUGAACCAGCCAAAUCGCGUGAAGGAAAGACUGCCCUACGGGUUGUAAACUUCUUUUGUACAGGAAUAAAAGACAUUACGUGUAGUGUAUUGCAUGUACUGUACGAAUAAGCAUCGGCUAACUCCGUGCCAGCAGCCGC
rnacentral:rRNA from 1 species